UACAGGGGGUGCAAACGUUGCUCGGAAUCAUUGGGCGUAAAGCGCACGUAGGCGGUUCGUUAUGUCGGAUGUGAAAGCCCUUGGCUUAACCGAGGAAGUGCAUCCGAAAACUGGCGAGCUAGAGUACUAAAAGAGGAUCGCGGAAUUCCCGGUGUAGAGGUGAAAAUUCGUAGAUAUCGGGAGGAACACCGGUGGCGAAGGCGGCGA
rnacentral:rRNA from 1 species